rnacentral:rRNA from 1 species
AGGACGAACGCUGGCGGCGUGCUUAACACAUGCAAGUCGAGCGGAAAGGCCCUUCGGGGUACUCGAGCGGCGAACGGGUGAGUAACACGUGAGUAAUCUGCCCCUAGCUCUGGGAUAGCUCCGGGAAACCGGGAUUAAUACCAGAUACGACCACUUUAGACAUCUGUUGUGGUGGAAAGAAUUUUGGCUAGGGAUGAGCUCGCGGCCUAUCAGCUUGUUGGUGAGGUAAUGGCCUACCAAGGCGACGACGGGUA